rnacentral:lncRNA from 1 species
AUGGCACGCCUUGAGACAAAGCAACCCUUGAGACUGUAGUGAGUGCAAAUGGCUUGUCAUAGCAGAAGGUCGAACUCCCUCUGAGUCACUGGGUGACUGACAGCUCUCCCUCCUUCGGAUGGCUCUUCCCCCAUAUUUUGAGUUCAUGACACACAUUCCCAAGUGCCUGUCUUUAAUGAAUCUUUGCGUAGCGUUCCUUCGUGUGGGGUGACACUCCAUCAUCCAGCGGCUCAGGAGCCCGAAGUCAGGCGCCCACUUGUCUUCUCGCAGGAUUGCCAUAGACUUUUUCUGUGUGCCCACCAUUCCAGACUGAAGUAGAGAUGGCAGUGGCAGAGACUGGGAAGGCUGCAACGAAAACAGGAAGUUAUUGCACCCUGGGAAUAGUCUGGAAAUGAAGCUUCAAAACUUGCUUCAUGUUCAGUUGUACACAGACUCACUCCCAGGUUGACUCACACGUGUAAAUAUUCCUGACUAUGUCUGCACUGCUUUUAUCUGAUGCUUCCUUCCCAAAAUGCCAAGUGUACAAGGUGAGGGAAUCACCCUUGGAUUCAGAGCCCAGGGUCGUCCUCCUUAACCUGGACUUGUCUUUCUCCGGCAGCCUCUGACACCCCUCCCCCCAUUUUCUCUAUCAGAAGGUCUGAGCAGAGUUGGGGCACGCUCAUGUCCUGAUACACUCCUUGUCUUCCUGAAGAUCUAACUUCUGACCCAGAAAGAUGGCUAAGGUGGUGAAGUGUUUGACAUGAAGACUUGGUCUUAAGAACUGGAGCAGGGGAAAAAAGUCGGAUGUGGCAGCAUGUACCCGAAAUCCCAGAACUGGGGAGGUAGAGAUGGAUGAGUGCCCGGGGCUAGCUGGCUGCUCAGCCAGCCUAGCUGAAUUGCCAAAUUCCAACUCCUAUUGAAAAACCUUUACCAAACAAACAAACAAACAAAUAAUAACAACAACAACAACAACAAACUACCCCAUACAAGGUGGGCGGCUCUUGGCUCUUGAGGAAUGACUCACCCAAACCCAAAGCUUGCCACAGCUGUUCUCUGGCCUAAAUGGGGUGGGGGGGGCAGAGACAGAGACAGAGAGAGACAUGACUUCCUGGGCUGGGCUGUGUGCUCUAGGCCACCAGGAACUUUCCUGUCUUGCUCUCUGUCUGGCACAGCCAGAGCACCAGCACCCAGCAGGUGCACACACCUCCCUCCGUGCUUCUUGAGCAAACACAGGUGCCUUGGUCUGUCUAUUGAACCGGAGUAAGUUCUUGCAGAUGUAUGCAUGGAAACAACAUUGUCCUGGCUUUAUUUCUACUGUUGUGAUAAAAACCGGGGAACUCCAGGAAGCAGCUGAGGCAGAGGCAAAUGCAAGGAAUGCUGCCUCCUAGCUUGCUCCCCAUGGCUUGCCGGGCCUGCUU